UGUGCACAGAGCUGAGCAACGUCUGAGGUUGAGCAAGGGAUUGACUCAAGCAAUAAACACUCUUAUGCAAAAGACUGAAAAGUAUGCUAGGCAUUGGACUGUAAAAGAGAGCUGUGUGUGUAAGGAAUAGAAUCGGAUUAUGAGAGAAACAGAAGCGUUUCAUUGUAACCAUUGUAACACGUCAGAGAGGUGAAUGAGCAAGACAAAUAGUAGUGCCAAAGGGAUGGGAGUAUAUUUCCCGAUACCUUCUUGCCCUCACCUCCACUACACUGAAGACAGACACACUCUCUCUCUUCUCUCUCUCUCUCUCUCUCUCUCACACACACACACACACACGCACACACACACACACACCUUUGUUUUUAUGGGGGCCUUGAGCCUGAGAAACAAUUCUCCCCAAUCCCUUUUCUUUCUUUUCUUUUUUUUCUUCCUGUUUUACACUUAACAUCCUCCCUCUCACCCUUUUGCAAAGCUGAGGGAAAAGAGAUUCCAGGGGAGCCCACUGGGUCAAACAUGCUGGGAAAAAAUUAAUUAGUAAAAGAGUAAUUAACAGGAGAAAGGAGGAGAUGGAGCCAGGGACAGACUGCCAAAUUAAGGCUCCCAACAGAAAGUGACAGAGAA
rnacentral:lncRNA from 1 species